rnacentral:tRNA from 1 species
GUUUAAAUAGUUUAAUAUAAAACAUUUUAUUUUCAUUAAAAAAAUGUAUUUCUUUAAAUG